AAUAAUAAACUCCAAGUACACCAAAGUACAGAUACAAUAGCAAAAGAAAAAGGGAUAGUCUAUUCUACACAGAAACCAAACAAAACACUUAGAGUUCUUAGCUUCUCUUCUCCGGUACCGUGACCACCAGAUCUGUUGAAGCUCGAUAGCUUGAAGUUGUUGUUCUGAUUUCUAUGCUUCAAUGAGCUCAUUAUUGAACAAUAGAUCUUGCUUUGGAACCUGCUCCCUUUGAAUUUCAGAUGUUGUUGUUUGAUUUCUCCUUCUUUCGAUCUAGAUCUUCAGCUGUAUGAAUGCUUUUCUAGGGUCCCAAAUAUGCUUUCCUAGAUUUAACUUGUCA